rnacentral:misc_RNA from 1 species
GGAUGGAUCAUUAAAGUAAAACGAGGCGGCUGUUCUGUUUUAACAAGCAGUGUUCAGCCCAACCCUCACCACACUUUGUGAACUGUUUCCUGUCUCUGGCAGGUGCUGGCUUCUUUUUGCCUGUCUUGGCUUAAAAGGCCUAAACCUGCCGCUGGGUUUUCGGACCCGGCUUUGUUUUAACUCUUAAGCUUAACCAAACUGUCUGAAACAAUUAUACAAAAACGAAAUGUAUAAACAACUUUUGACAACGGAUCUCUUGGCUCUCGCAACGAUGAAGAACGCAGCGAAAUGCGAUACGUAAUGUGAAUUGCAGAAUUCCGUGAAUCAUCGAAUCUUUGAACGCAUAUUGCGACCUUCUGGUAUUCCAGGAGGUAUGCCUGUUUGAGAAUCGUGACCCCCCCUCACUUCUAAACUUGUUUUAGGAGUGGAUCUGAGUCUUUUCCCAAUUUUUGCAAAAGAAAUGUGGGUGACUUGAAAUCUAGGUAAGCCUUGAACGGAACUCCCGUUUGGUGAAAAGGCGUGAUAAAACGUCCUCUUGCAGGGACCAGUAUAUCCUCGCUUCAAAGUAACCACGGAACCAAGUAGAAGUUCAAUUUGGCAUGCAAACGCAGGAAAUGAAGGCCUUAAACAAGCCUUUGUGUACUGAAUCUCAAAUCAGGCAAGACUACCCGCUGAACUUAAGCAUAUCAAUAAGCGGAGGAAAAGAAACUAACAAGGAUUCCCCUAGUAACUGCGAGUGAAGCGGGAACAGCUCAAAUUUGAAAUCUCUGGGUUUUGCCCAGCGAAUUGUAGUUUCGAGAAGUGUUUUCGGCGGCGGCCUUGGCUCAAGUCCCUUGGAACAGGGUGUCAUAGAGGGUGAGAACCCCGUUAAGCCUUGGUUUGCUGCCAUGUGAUACACUUUCAAAGAGUCGGGUUGUUUGGGAUUGCAGCCCAAAAUGGGAGGUAAAUUUCUUCUAAAGCUAAAUACUGGCGAGAGACCGAUAGCGAACAAGUACCGUGAGGGAAAGAUGAAAAGAACUUUGAAAAGAGAGUUAAACAGUACGUGAAAUUGUCAAAAGGGAAAGGCUUGGAACCAGUCAUGCUGUCUGGAAUUCAGCGUGCCACCCCGGCGCGUGUACUUUUCAGAUGGCAGGUCAACGUCAGUUUACUUCGCGUCGAAAGGCCUUGGGAAGGUAGCCUGCCUCCGGGUGGGUGUUAUAGCCCAUUGGCUCUGGCGUGUGGGAAGACUGAGGACUGCAGGGCGCACUGGGUUAGCCGGGUAGGCGAGUGGAUUUCGGUAGACUGCACGCAGGCUGCUGGAACACAUGAACCUUUCCUGGUGACACCUCUCCGACCCUUAGGACGUUGACGAAAUGGUUUUAAUCCACCCGUCUUGAAACACGGACCAAGGAGUCUAACAUAUAUGCGAGUGUUUGGGUGGCAAACCCAUGCGCGAAAUGAAAGUGAUUCAGGUGGGAUCCUCGGAGCACCAUCGACCGGUCUGGAUAUUUUAAUUGAAGGAUCUGAGUAAGAGCAUAUCUGUUGGGACCCGAAAGAUGGUGAACUAUGCCUGAAUAGGGCGAAGCCAGAGGAAACUCUGGUGGAGGCUCGUAGCGGUUCUGACGUGCAAAUCGAUCGUCAAAUUUGGGUAUAGGGGCGAAAGACUAAUCGAACUAUCUAGUAGCUGGUUCCCUC